CACGUAGGGGGCAAGCGUUGUCCGGAUUUAUUGGGCGUAAAGAGCUCGUAGGCGGUUUGUCGCGUCUGCCGUGAAAACUCGGGGCUUAACUCCGGGCCUGCAGUGGGUACGGGCAGACUAGAGUGCGGUAGGGGAGACUGGAAUUCCUGGUGUAGCGGUGAAAUGCGCAGAUAUCAGGAGGAACACCGGUGGCGAAGGCGGGUCUCUGGGCCGUAACUGACGCUGAGGAGCGAAAGCGUGGGGAGCGAACAGG
rnacentral:rRNA from 1 species